GGGCCCUACGUAGUAGACUAGUUGUGGGGUCAUUCCACGGAUUCCGUGACGCAGCUAACGCAUUAAGUUCCCCGCCUGGGGAGUACGGCCGCAAGGCUAAAACUCAAAGGAAUUGACGGGGACCCGCACAAGCGGCGGAGCAUGCGGAUUAAUUCGAUGCAACGCGAAGAACCUUACCAAGGCUUGACAUAUACGAGAACGGGCCAGAAAUGGUCAACUCUUUGGACACUCGUAAACAGGUGGUGCAUGGUUGUCGUCAGCUCGUGUCGUGAGAUGUUGGGUUAAGUCCCGCAACGAGCGCAACCCUCGUUCUAUGUUGCCAGCACGUAAUGGUGGGAACUCAUGGGAUACUGCCGGGGUCAACUCGGAGGAAGGUGGGGAUGACGUCAAAUCAUCAUGCCCCUUAUGUCUUGGGCUUCACGCAUGCUACAAUGGCCGGUACAAAGGGCUGCAAUACCGUGAGGUGGAGCGAAUCCCAAAAAGCCGGUCCCAGUUCGGAUUGAGGUCUGCAACUCGACCUCAUGAAGUCGGAGUCGCUAGUAAUCGCAGAUCAGCAACGCUGCGGUGAAUACGUUCCCGGGUCUUGUACACACCGCCCGUCAAGUCAUGAAAGUCGGUAACACCUGAAGCCGGUGGCCUAACCCUUGUGGAGGGAGCCGUCGAAGGUGGGAUCGGUAAUUAGGACUAAGUCGUAACAAGGUAGCCGUACCGGAAGGUGCGGCUGGUUCCCCCCUCCCUAC
rnacentral:rRNA from 1 species